GCACGAUCGUUGGACCACGAGCCUCUUCUCGUUCUCUCGGAUGCGGAAAGUCCCUCAUGGGCGUGGGUCAUUGGCCCUCGGUCCCGAAUCUGUAAGCGAAGCUAACGGGCAUAGCUUUACAUCGGAAUGACGCUCUCGCCUCGUCUUCGACCACGYGAAGCUAACGGGCAUAGCUCGCGAUGGCUCGUGCGGGGCGGACGUCGUGAAGGAAUGC
rnacentral:misc_RNA from 1 species